AUCUGAUGGCACAACCAGAUCUCAGUUAUCCAAAUCCUGCACCUCUAAACAGAAAGAGCUGGAAGGGCCGGGAGAGGAGCCCUGGUGUGGAAAGACUGGAUGAUGUGGCAUCAGGUUUCCUGCACAUCAGGUGCCAGUCAGAGCCUCACCACGGGGGAAACAGCAGCUGAAGAUUUAGGUGAGGAAUAACAACAACGAAGAAAACAAAACAAGAGUGUGAGAAAACCGAGGAGGAGAAAAAAAAAAACAUUUCUCAGCUGCAAAAUACUCAGUAACACUCCCAGUCAGCAUUGGAGUGGUGCAUCCCAAAAUCCUGAGACACUGGGAAGUGAGAGCUUGGAGAAUCCCGAAUCCCUGACUGGGGUUUUGAUUUAUUCUUUGCAGCCAGACAGUGCUCUCUCCCUCUCUCCCUCUCCCUCUCUCCCUCCCUCCCCUCCCUCUCCGGUGUGCGGGCACAGCAGCCACCUCUCCCCCUCCACCAACCAAAGCGGGGGGGAAGGGGGGCUGCUCCUGCAAUAAAAGUGUGGGAAGCUGAUGGCUGCGGAGUAAUGCAGACAAAGCACGAGGGAGAGGGACCCAGAGGGCCGGAGCCCCCGGCGAUGUGACCCACCCCGCGUCCGCAGCCCCCGAGCCGCGUUUGUGCUGCCUCACGGAUAGCUCGGAUAUCGCUGGCUGCGAUAGCCAGCGGGCUCGGGUAUCGCUGGCUGCGAUAGCCAGCGGGCUCGGAGCCCCCCGGGGAUUUCUCCGGCGCUAAUUCGCUCCGCACAAAGCCCAGCCUGCCGGGCUGCUCUCCAGCAGCAACCUUUGCAUCCCUCCAGCUCCCCCCGAGCCGCAGGAGCUGCUCCCCUCCGGCUGCUCCCGAGCCAAUGUCACCUGUGCCCAAUGAAGCAGACCCCGAGGUGCCACGCAUGGAUCCCAGGAUUCUUAUUUUCCUCCUCUACGUGAUGAUCCUUCACGAGCUGGUGAGUGGCUGGAUGGAGUACCAGAAGCAGAUGGCCAAGCCAAAGAAGCAGGCGGGUCCAGUUUGGUCCUCGAGCAAUGCCACCAGAUCCAGCCCCUCCAGCUUCUCCAGGCCCCUGGUCCACUCUGUGCGCAGGGAGAGGUACAGGGACUGGAGGAAACCAGGAAGGAUCAUCCGGAAGGCAUGAGGAGGGAUCUGCUGGGAGCGUGGGGAGAGAUGGCUGAGCCAGAGGAGCCACCCCUCAGGGUCUGCACCACCUCACCAGCCCACACAGGGGCAUCCCCCAGGCACUGCAACCUGCAGCUUUCCUCACUGAGAACACACCACUGAGGAGGAAUGAGCCCCUUCCUCCUGGGAAUUCGUCCCUGCAGGGUGAGGAGCUGCACUGGAGACACCUCAGCCAGCAGCAGGAUCACCCCAAGUGGCACCUUUGCCACCCAACACAGUGAAGUGACUUCUCUGCUUCCCAAAGGGUUGAGUGGAUGGAGAGCAGAUUUCCUGGGGGGAAGAGUGAAAUUUGCUCCUGCAGGGGCAGCCCUGGGAAGCCUCCAAAUGGUUUCAGGCUCCUCUUCUCCUGCUCCAGGACUGCGUGGCCAGUAAGCCUCAGCUCCCAAACUGACUGGAAAAUCUCUGGUGUCCAGUCUGUCACCGCUCCCAGGAGAACUCACCUCUACUGGGACACACAGAGCUCAUGGCACUUUGGGAAUGCUGGCUCCCCAUUAGGUCUCAUGCACUGAGAAUCCCUAAAUUUUUUUCUGCUUUCCUUCACGCUUGUUAAAUGAGUUACUCUGGGCUGGAAGGGGGAAAACGCCCUGAACCAGUGACUCAGAGUUAUGCCACCAAAUGCAAUUUACUGCAAUGACCUUGUAAUUAGCUUUCCUUGGAGCAUUCCCAGCAGUUGAGCCAAAUAAAUGUAAGAGCCACUUUCUAAUGAGCA
rnacentral:lncRNA from 1 species